rnacentral:rRNA from 1 species
UGCUAUUUGAAUUAAAUAAAUAGUAAGCCCUGCCCAGUGAAAUUUUAACGGCCGCGGUAUCCUAACCGUGCAAAGGUAGCAUAAUCACUUGCCUAUUAAUUGUAGGCUAGAAUGAAAGGGUAAACGAAAUCAUACCUGUCUCAGAUAGACACCUAAAAAUUAAUUUAUAAUGAAGAAGCUUAUAUAAAAUCGCAGGACAAGAAGACCCUAUAGAGCUUUACUAUUAAUAUUAGAAAUAAAUAAUAAGUAGUUCGGUUGGGGCGACUAGAAAAUAAAAAACAUCUCUAAUGCAUUAGAUUUACUCAUCGCGUUAAUAGAUCCUAUUAUAGAUCCAAGAAACAAGCUACCUUAGGGAUAACAGGCUAAUUUUCUUUAAGAGCUCGCAUCAACAAGAAAGAUUGGCACCUCGAUGUUGGCUUAGGAAUACUAUAUGAUGCAGAAGUCAUAAUAGAAGGUUUGUUCAACCAUUAAUAUCCU